CUAGCGGCAUCAACAUCUGUCUCGAACUCUUUUUUGUCUCCCGAAUACUUUGCCCUGAGGUUUUGCGAAUGAGAAAGCCUUGAAGAAUGGCGACACUUGCUACGCAGUUGGAUUUUGCCUGGUAUCUAAAGAUGGAUUGUGGCACUGGCCAGUCAUGUGUGCUAGGUCGAAUGGGAUCUCUGUGCAAGUCGGCUACAUCUACUUCGUAUCACUGGACUGUGAAACGGGACUUUCUGUCUUCUACCGAACACAGAAACUAAAAAGGUUUUACAACAUGCUAGUGGAACUGCUGGCGAGCCAGUAAAACCUGGUUGCAAGGGCUUAGUUUUCUACGGGGCCAUCUUAUUUACUCAUGUAUCGUAAAGUUUUUUUCGAAUUAAUAUAUCUUAGUAGUUAUACUAUCUGUUUCGAAACUAAAAUACUAAUUGGUCAGUUAAGGCAA